rnacentral:lncRNA from 1 species
CCUCUCCCUCUUGAGAUUGCCCUUCAAUCUCAUCCGACUCAAGUCUCCUUCUAUCAUAUAAGCAUCGUCGUAGACUUCAUAUCCUUCAUGUCUCUCUCUACCAUGUUCCUCUUCUUGGAUGUGUCGGUUUUUGGAAAGGGAAGUUUUGGUUGAGAGGCUCGAUUUGGUAACGUGGAGCUUCGGUUGUGGAGCUUGGAUGGGAGGAAAUUGGCUUCCAAGUCCUCCUUGUUGGAAUUGAUCAACUUGUGGGGGAAGUGGUCUAUAUU